AGGGAAGGAAGAGACAGCUCCAGCUCCCUUUUCUUGGCAUCCCAGUCUUCAUCGCGCUCAUCCAGAGGCAGCCCCUUCUGCUGGGCAGCGCAACGGUGGUCCUGGCACUCGGGCUCUGCCCUAGGAAAGAAGAGAGGGGCUUCUGAACUUGGAUCAGGAGGACCUGUUCCAGCCUGGGAAUCGGCCUUUAUUCACAGGUUCUGCACACCGCAGUUCAGUUGAGAAGGAAGGAGGCCAAGUUUGAGCAUUUCCAAGCAUACACUUAGGGAAGGUCUCAGACAGUAAAGAAACUACUUGGAGGUGGAGAAAAAUUGUGGGACCCGAGUGAGAUGUUAACAGACUCAAAGAUAGUCACUCAGCUUGAAGAAAAUGCUCCUGAUUCUUGAAGUGCUCACAUUUAUAGAGCAACCUGCAGAUUAUUGCGAGACU
rnacentral:lncRNA from 1 species